GACGAACGCUGGCGGCGUGCUUAACACAUGCAAGUCGAACGGAAAGGCCCUGCUUUUGUGGGGUGCUCGAGUGGCGAACGGGUGAGUAACACGUGAGUAACCUGCCCUUGACUUUGGGAUAACUUCAGGAAACUGGGGCUAAUACCGGAUAGGAGCUCCUGCUGCAUGGUGGGGGUUGGAAAGUUUCGGCGGUUGGGGAUGGACUCGCGGCUUAUCAGCUUGUUGGUGGGGUAGUGGCUUACCAAGGCUUUGACGGGUAGCCGGCCUGAGAGGGUGACCGGCAACAUUGGGACUGAGAUACGGCCCAGACUCCUACGGGAGGCAGCAGUGGGGAAUAUUGCACAAUGGGCGGAAGCCUGAUGCAGAAACGCCGCGUGCGGGAUGACGGCCUUAGGGUUGUAAACCGCUUUCGCCGGUGACGAAGCGUGAGUGACGGUAAUGGGUAAAGAAGCACCGGCUAACUACGUG
rnacentral:rRNA from 1 species